rnacentral:rRNA from 1 species
CAACGACUCGCGACCAAGCUCAACAUCAACAAGCAACCCAUGAUAUUCAACAUCGGAGAUCUCGUGUGGAUACACCUUCGCAAGGACCGCUUCCCCAACGAAUGCAAGUCCAAACUUCUACCUCGAGCCGAUGGACCCUUCAAGGUGCUAGCACGCUACAACAACAACGCUUACAAGAUCGAUCUCCCACGCGACAAGUACAACAUGAGCGACAUCUUCAACGUCACUGAUCUCUCCCCAUACCAUGGUGAUGAGGAUUUCGAUCCGAGGUCAGAUAUUUUCCGAGGGAGGGGAGAUGAUGCGGAGUAUCCUUCGGUCGUCCCCAUGGAUCUACCAUCGUCUCACCAAGCACCAAGAGGACCCAUGACAAGAGCACAAGCUAGAGCUCUCAAGACCGAGGUGACUUCUCUCCUUAGUGAUAUCUCAUAUGAUCCUCUUGAGACAUGGCUACUACCUAAGUUCGGAAUGUUGUGCAUGAUUAGGUACCAAGAGGACCCUCGCGAGGAUGCACAUGAAGAUGGUAAAGACCCCAAGUCCAUGGAAGAAGAGAACCAAUGGAAGAAGGCGAGAACAGCCUCCAGGCAUCGGGCAUCCGGCCCCUGGAGAUCUUCCCCACAG